AACUCGGUGAGGACGUCCUGGCGGAAGAGUGUGGAAGACAGACAUGAUGGGAAGUGCAAAGGCCCUGAGACAGGAGCCUGCGGCAUGAUGGGGGGGUGCUCAGUGUCCUUGGGGCCCAGUGAGUGAGAAGAGAUCAGGAGCCCCACGGGAGUGCAAGCCGGGUCUGUGUCAUCUACAGGACCGGGGUGCCCAGGAGAGCUCUCCUGCUUGUCGUUUACAUGCAAAUGUGUAACCUGCUGCCUGGUACAAAAGGGAGAUAUACCUAUGAUCCAAAUACAUCAAAUCCAAGGGCACACAAAGGU